GAUUGAUACAGGCCACGUAGAUACUUUUGCUCUCAAAGAAGUCAUUCCCUCGCUGCAACAAGCAUCAAGGCUGAAAUAUGCUAUUGAGUUACGUCAAAUCUCGUUAUAGAUGCAAACACAUGUAUGUCCUCAUAAAUAGAGAUAGAGUUGAAAGACUACUCAAGGUUUACCUAACAGCAUUGUGAUACCAAAAGCUUUCUUCAAGAGCUUAGGUGUUCAAGUCGAGAUUGUGAAAAAUGGGAAGCUUUGUGUGAAUUGUGAUGUUCGGAGAUAGUAAACUGGGCGCUUGUAAACCUAUCAGCGAGCAGGAUUCAUCGGAUUUCGUGUUGGGAGAGAACAAGAUCAGUCAUGUUUAGGAUUCUAGGCAGAGAAACUAAGUUUUUGAUGAGAUCAUGGACUUCGUGAUUGAAGUUUUUGAUCCUAUCGCAAGGAUUUUUCCUUCGGUUGGCGCCGUGAGUUUUGGGAAGAUAGCGGCAGAGAAUAUGCUGAUUAUUGAUCCACAGGCUGAAGAGUGUAGUAAAGAGAAGACGUCUAGUUUACGUGAAAAAUGAGUUCAAGAGCUCGGCAAACAGUUCUUCUAAGUUGGAAAGUUACAUGACUGAUGAAAUUAUUGAAGUGAUAAUAAUCUGUGAAUCUGAGAGAUUUUUUGAAUGAAAUAACAAUACAAAACACACCUUUCAUA